AUUGAACGCUGGCGGUAUGCUUAACACAUGCAAGUCGAACGGUAACAGGCCUUCGGGCGCUGACGAGUGGCGGACGGGUGAGUAACGCGUAGGAAUCUGCCUCAUAGUGGGGGACAACGUGGGGAAACUCACGCUAAUACCGCAUACGCCCUACGGGGGAAAGCGGGGGAUCUUCGGACCUCGCGCUAUGAGAUGAGCCUGCGUUAGAUUAGCUAGUUGGUAGGGUAAAGGCCUACCAAGGCGACGAUCUAUAGCUGGUCUGAGAGGACGAUCAGCCACACUGGGACUGAGACACGGCCCAGACUCCUGCGGGAGGCAGCAGUGGGGAAUAUUGGACAAUGGGCGCAAGCCUGAUCCAGCAAUACCGCGUGUGUGAAGAAGGCCUUAGGGUUGUAAAGCACUUUCAAUUGGGAGGAAAACCUGCCGGUCAAUACCCGGUAGCUUGACAUUACCUUUAGAAGAAGCACCGGCUAACUCCGUGCCAGCAGCCGCGGUAAUACGGAGGGUGCAAGCGUUAAUCGGAAUUACUGGGCGUAAAGCGUGCGUAGGCGGUUCGUUAAGUCAGAUGUGAAAGCCCCGGGCUUAACCUGGGAACUGCAUUUGAAACUGGCGGACUAGAGUUGAGUAGAGGGGAGUGGAAUUUCA
rnacentral:rRNA from 1 species